rnacentral:rRNA from 1 species
ACGGAGGAUGCGAGCGUUAUCCGGAUUCAUUGGGUUUAAAGGGUGCGUAGGCGGACUAUUAAGUCAGUGGUGAAAUCCUGCAGCUUAACUGCAGAACUGCCAUUGAUACUGAUAGCCUUGAGUUUGGUUAAGGUAGGCGGAAUGUGUAAUGUAGCGGUGAAAGGGGUAGAGAUUGCACAGAACACCAAUUGCGGAGGCGACUUAAUAAGACGACACUGCCGCUGAGGCACGAAAGCGUGGUGAUCGAACAG